AUACUUCCCUGGCAGGGGAGAUACCAUGAUCACGAAGGUGGUUUCCCAGAGCAAGGCUUAUCCAUUGCACUC
rnacentral:snRNA from 1 species